rnacentral:rRNA from 1 species
UUGGAGGGCAAGUCUGGUGCCAGCAGCCGCGGUAAUUCCAGCUCCAAUAGCGUAUAUUAAAGUUGUUGCAGUUAAAAAGCUCGUAGUUGAAUUUCGGGGUCUAUCCAUUGGUCGGGCUUUAUUGUCCGUACUGGUGUGAUGGGUUCCUACCUUCUGAAUAACCGGCAUGCCAUUCAUUUGGUGCGCCGGGGAAGCAGAGCUAUUACCUUGAAAAAAUUAGAGUGCUUAAAGCAGGCUAGUGCUUGAAUAGAUUAGCAUGGAAUAAUAAAAUAGGACGGCAUGGUUCUAUUUUGUUGGUUUCUAGGAUCACCGUAAUGAUUAAUAGGGAUAGUUGGGGGCAUUAGUAUUCAAUUGUCAGAGGUGAAAUUCUUGGAUUUAUUGAAGACUAACUUCUGCGAAAGCAUUUGCCAAGGAUGCUUUCAUUAAUCAAGAACGAAAGUUAGGGGAUCGAAGACGAUCAGAUACCGUCGUAGUCUUAACCAUAAACUAUGCCGACUAGGGAUCGGACGAAGUCAAUUUUUUAAUGACUCAUUCGGCGCCUUACGGGAAAC